rnacentral:pre_miRNA from 1 species
GCCUGCCGUACCCCCGCGAAGGCGGGGGUCCAGGGCCGCAGGAAACUACGGCCCGUGGUUGUGGCUCUGGGUCCCCGCCUGCGCGGGGAUACGGUGAGG